AAAUAAGAAGCAAUUCUGCAUUUAAUUUCGACUUCAAAGACAGAGUUUAUUACUCCUUAUUUA
rnacentral:tRNA from 1 species